UACGUAGGUGGCGAGCGUUGUCCGGAUUUACUGGGCGUAAAGAGCGCGCAGGCGGUCGUACAAGUCGCGUGUGAAAGCCCCCGGCUCAACUGGGGAGGGUCACGCGAUACUGUUCGACUCGAAGGCAGGAGAGGGUAGUGGAAUUCCCGGUGUAGUGGUGAAAUGCGUAGAUAUCUGGAGGAACACCGGUGGCGAAGGCGGCAUCCUGGACCAACACUGACACUGAUGAGCGAAAGCCAGGGGAGCAAACGGG
rnacentral:rRNA from 1 species